rnacentral:rRNA from 1 species
UGAUCCUGGCUCAGAUUGAACGCUGGCGGCAGGCUUAACACAUGCAAGUCGAGCGGAGAGAGGUAGCUUGCUACUGAUCUUAGCGGCGGACGGGUGAGUAAUGCUUAGGAAUCUGCCUAUUAGUGGGGGACAACAUUUCGAAAGGAAUGCUAAUACCGCAUACGUCCUACGGGAGAAAGCAGGGGAUCUUCGGACCUUGCGCUAAUAGAUGAGCCUAAGUCGGAUUAGCUAGUUGGUGGGGUAAAGGCCUACCAAGGCGACGAUCUGUAGCGGGUCUGAGAGGAUGAUCCGCCACACUGGGACUGAGACACGGCCCAGACUCCUACGGGAGGCAGCAGUGGGGAAUAUUGGACAAUGGGCGGAAGCCUGAUCCAGCCAUGCCGCGUGUGUGAAGAAGGCCUUAUGGUUGUAAAGCACUUUAAGCGAGGAGGAGGCUACUUUAGUUAAUACCUAGAGAUAGUGGACGUUACUCGCAGAAUAAGCACCGGCUAACUCUGU